AUUCGGCUGAUGAGUUCGAAAUAGGACGAAACGUACGUCCAGGAU
rnacentral:hammerhead_ribozyme from 1 species